UCUGACUAAGUUCUGUGAGUC
ensembl:piRNA 21ur-1294 ncRNA